UACCAAGGAUUCCCUCAGUACCGGCGAGUGAAGCGGGAAGAGCUCAAAUUUAAAAUCUGGCUUGCUUGCAAGUCCGAGUUGUAGUCUGAAGAAGCGUUUUCCAUAAGCACUGAGGCACAAGUCCCUUGGAACAGGGCAUCAUAGAGGGUGAGAAUCCCGUCCAUGGUCUCAAGUCGCUUAUUUUGUGAUACGCUUUCAAAGAGUCAGGUUGUUUGGGAAUGCAGCCUAAAAUGGGUGGUAAAUUUCAUCUAAAGCUAAAUAUUGGCGAGAGACCGAUAGCGAACAAGUACCGUGAGGGAAAGAUGAAAAGAACUUUGAAAAGAGAGUUAAACAGUACGUGAAAUUGUUGAAAGGGAACCGUUUGAAGCCAGUCUUACUUGCCUGUGAUCAGUUUGUACCUCGGUAUGAAUGCACUCUUGGGUAUGGUAGGCCAACGACAGUUUGGAGUGCGAGAAAAAAACUUGGGAAAUGUGGCCUUCGGGUGUUAUAGUCCCUUGUAAAAUAUCGUGUUCCGGACUGAGGAUCGCAGUAAAAAUGUGGGCAGGUAGAUUUCUGUGGCGAAUGUUUAUUAGGACAACUUGUUGACCUAGUUUGCACGAACUUCACUGGUUGCCUCGCUUCUAAUUUGCUUAGUCGUUGGCAUAAUGGCUUUAAAUGACCCGUCUUG
rnacentral:rRNA from 1 species